rnacentral:rRNA from 1 species
UAGGUUAAUGAGGCGAACCGGGGGAACUGAAACAUCUAAGUACCCCGAGGAAAAGAAAUCAACCGAGAUUCCCCCAGUAGCGGCGAGCGAACGGGGAGGAGCCCAGAGCCUGAAUCAGUGUGUGUGUUAGUGGAAGCGUCUGGAAAGGCGCGCGAUACAGGGUGACAGCCCCGUACACAAAAAUGCACAUGCUGUGAGCUCGAUGAGUAGGGCGGGACACGUGGUAUCCUGUCUGAAUAUGGGGGGACCAUCCUCCAAGGCUAAAUACUCCUGACUGACCGAUAGUGAACCAGUACCGUGAGGGAAAGGCGAAAAGAACCCCGGCGAGGGGAGUGAAAAAGAACCUGAAACCGUGUACGUACAAGCAGUGGGAGCCUCUUUAUGGGGUGACUGCGUACCUUUUGUAUAAUGGGUCAGCGACUUAUAUUCUGUAGCAAGGUUAACCGAAUAGGGGAGCCGAAGGGAAACCGAGUCUUAACUGGGCGUUAAGUUGCAGGGUAUAGACCCGAAACCCGGUGAUCUAGCCAUGGGCAGGUUGAAGGUUGGGUAACACUAACUGGAGGACCGAACCGACUAAUGUUGAAAAAUUAGCGGAUGACUUGUGGCUGGGGGUGAAAGGCCAAUCAAACCGGGAGAUAGCUGGUUCUCCCCGAAAGCUAUUUAGGUAGCGCCUCGUGAA